UGUCCACAAAAAUGACUAAUUGGCAACUUUUAUUGUUUACACCAUUAGUCACUAGCCGGAUGCCAUAGAGAGUGCACGUGCUUCCCUCCCACGCCUUUGCAGUUUUCCAUGCUGUAACCAUGAAACGAAGGAGAUGCAUUAGUGGUGAGGUGUUGCAGCUACUAGUCAACUCCGACGAUUUCCAGCAUGACCUUGACAGUACCGCAGGCGAGGUCAGUGAUGCCAACACUACCGUUGACGCCGUGCAAGGAGGUCACCCUACACAGGAGAACAUGCCCGAGUCUUCAUCUAAUCCUAUGUCUCCUGGACUAACAGACAUGGUCAUAGAAUGUACUGAAGAACCGAGUGGUCUGCCCAGAUCACUCUGAUGUCCUCUGCUUCGACUGCCAGGAAUAAGUGAAAUGCAGCAAGAUAUGUAUGCAGCUCGGGAUUGGAAGGCACCUGGCAAUGUCGAGUGAUGCAUGUAGUAUAUAUUUCUAGCUUUAGUUUUUAGUAUCAGUUAAUUUCAUGAUCUCAGGAACCAAAAAAUUAAGUACUUUUUUUUCUUAAAAAACUUUUUUUAUAAUUAUUCUGGAAAUUCAUUUUUGUUUAUAUUUCAUUCAUUUUUGUGUUUGCAGGCAUCUACGAGCCUUAUACUUUCAGUUUAGCAUUAUUUGGUUUAAAUAAAAUAAGUUUGUA